CACAGAAGUGAUGUUGUUUCCUUCUCACUUCAUCACAUGAUGAGGCGCAUGAUGUCACUGUGUCCAUGACUUGUGACGUGGUUCCUGGAUUCUUGGUUAAGGUGGUGUCUGUCGGGCUUCUUUGUAAAGUUACUUUUAGCCUCAGCUGAUAUCCUGUUUCUCCUUAAACAUCCACCCACUGAUUUCAGCAUCCAUUCACCAGUCUGGCCUCCUGCGGCUGUCCCGGUGCUGUCGGCCUCAUGGUGUUUGGUGUUUCCCUCAUUCAUUCCACAUUUAUCGAUUUGAAUUGUUCUAUCAGGAAGAACUGCCCUUCUCCACCAUUUGUUUAUUUAUUCAUUUAUGUUAGUGUGGGCGCAUGCAUAUGUAUUUUAUUCAAUGGGUCAUAAUCCAGUCCUACGAUAAUUCGCUUUGUCGCUCAGAUUGUUGCAUAUUUGGUCUCCUUGGUGAUGCCCCCCAGGUGAGGCAUGUGGGUGGUCACCAGAGGACCCUAUGAUCAAAUCAGCUGUGUCUUUGUUAAAGAAAUUAUUGAUACCAAUAUUUAAUUAAUCACAAAUACUUUAGCUCUGUAUAUUUUGAGGAGAAGAAAGCCUAAGGGGUCAAGAAUGACCAUAAUUUUCCAUGUGAAACAUCAUUCUCUUUACACCGCAGGUUUAAGCACGGCUCGCUUCAAUUUAAGUCUGAUUUCCCUUCCCCUCUUUAUUUUAUCUUAGAGGAAACCUCUGACUUCUCCUUUGACCUGGCUGUUUUAAAUUGGCUGUAUUGCUAUCAUCGGAGAUAAAGUCAGAUACUGGUUAAAAUGGUCAGGACCGAUUUUAGUUAGUAAUAAAUCUUGCAAUAGGGAAAAGAGUCCAGCAGUAAUUAGCUGAACUCAACUUGGAUUUGUACACAGGUGACUGGCAUAUUCAGGGGAGGGAGGGAGGGUGGUGCCCGGGGCUCAGGAGAGUCAGGGAGGAGAAGCGUGAGCAAGGCUUCAUCAGUGUAAGCGCAGUUGGAUCUGCUGUGUCUGCUUCUGGCCAUUAUGGAAGCUAAGCUUCUCCCCUCCUGUCCCUCAGCUGUUGCCUGACCAAACAGUAAACUAUUUUGAGAGCCUCGACUUCUUCCAGACAGGCACUUUCAGGGGGCCUGGGGCUCUCCUGGGGAUGUUGGAGACUUUGUUGGUGUUGGUUCAGGUCUUUCUAGUAAAAGGAUGAGGAAAAGGAGGGGGUGUCUUGGUCACGACACCCUCUGGCUAUUUGUCCUUUAGUUGUUGCUGCUCAUUUCCUUGGCUCCAACUGACCCAAGCAUGUAAUUAUGAUUCUAUAUGGCAGACGUUUCUGCAUCUGAUUUUAAGAACAUGGUUUUUUUACACAAAAUACGUCUUUUUACCUUUUCACAUAUUUGUUUAUGUAUCUGCAUACAUAUAUUCACACACAUGUAUAUAUAGGCCUGUGUAGGUGAUGUACUCCAGAGUGUGUAUGUGCUUGUGUGUUUCAUGUACUCUGUGUCUUGUCUUUGACAGUCACUUGCCUGCCUUAUAAAAGGCAUUUUAAAAAUCUACUUGGAUGGAAAUUCAUAAAGGCAGUUAGAUUAUCUUGCAAGCAAGCCGAUCGAAGGAUACUGUGUAAAAACUUGGUAUUCUCAUUAGGCCUGCUAACUUCUCAAAGUGCCUGCCUCUUCCAAAUUAACUCUUGGACCACAUAUCCUCCAGAGCCUUCUUGUCAUGGCCUUCUGGAAGAUGUCUUAUAAAUCCUAAUAGUGCAAGAAACUGUCAAUAUUAUGUGCAUAAGUGCACUCAGGAUAUGUGUGCUUGGCAUAUACUAAACGCUCUGGAGGUGUUAAUAUCUAUUAUUAUGCAUUUCACAAACCAAACAACUGACUGGCUCAGUAAUACACAGGUAAUAACUUUCCAUAUUUAAUGCAACUAGGAAACCGUGAAUUGCUUUACUUCAAUCAAAGCAUAAAUUCCAAGAAACUUUUCCAAAGCCGUUUCCAAAUCACUCAGCAAAACCAGUUAGAGGUGUCUGUGACUUUGAUUAACAUUCCUACGUAAUAGAUGGAGUAGCUCUCAAAUUUGGUGCAAAUAAAAGUCGUCUCAACUGCAUAGGCCUAGACCCAAGGUCACGUGAUUCUGAUUCAGUGUGAGCAACAGAAGUUUCCAUUUUUAAUCAACAUCCCCUUGUUGGUAGAAGACUCAUUAGAGGUGGUGGUUUAAGAGCUCUUCUUCGUUACGAUUGGCUUGUUGUGCAGAGGAAGCUGGUGGGAGGGCUGCCGGAAACAGAUCUGGGCUUGUGUAUAAGGAGCAGCAGCCUUAAGCGGAAGCAGAUUUGGUGCGGUGGUGACUUCCGGAAGGGGGUAAAGCCGUGUUCCCGUGGACAAGAGUGGUGAGUAGCUGUGUUCCCAUCUUCAGAAAGCCAGAAACUACCCAACCUCUGUAUUUGACCUCAUCUGAUUGCCUGUUGCAGCUAUUGAAAGGAAGUUAUCUCACUAUUGAUUCCAAGAAAAGGAAGUAACUUUAAAUGUGUGUUUGCUAAGACAAGUACCCACCCUGCAACAUACGCCCUGAAAAAGCUAAAAUGCAAACAUCUAGUUUUUUUAAAUCAGUAGAAAUUUUUUUUUUUUUUUUUUGUCUUUUUUGUUGUUGUUGCUAUUUCUUGGGCCACUCCCACGGCAUAUGGAGGUUCCCAGGCUAGGUGUUGAAUCGGAGCUGUAGCCACCGGCCUACGCCAGAGCCACAGCAAGGCGGGAUCCGAGCCGCGUCUGCACUACAUCACAGCUCACGGCAACGCCGGAUGGUCAACCCACUGAGCAAGGGCAGGGACCGAACCCGCAACCGCAUGGUUCCUAGUCGGAUUCGUUAACCACUGCGCCACGACGGGAACUCCCUAAAUCGGUAGAAAUUUUUGACUUAAUUCUUUUGAAUAGCAGUGCCUGGACUGACUUAUCUCUGGCUUGUGAUGGGGCCAAAACCAUGGAUUCAUAGUCUAUGAUGUACAUGGUUUGUUUUUUUGUUUUGUUUUUCCAUACCAUUUUUAUUCUCCUGUUUCUCUUUAUUUUCAAACUUGAAUAAGAGAGAAGGUAGCCUUGUGCUUUCAUUUCAAGCAUAAUGUGACUCCUUUGAAGUUUAUGAACGAAUGCCUAGUGAGCCGAGUAGGCUGAUGUUCAAUCCAGUUGAGUGUCCUCUGAGCUGUAAAAUGAUUCAAGAUUCACUCAUCUCUGGGAAUUAAAUACAGGCAGUAAUAAUGUGAAUGUAAACAAAGGUUUUCACCUGGGGAUGUGACUAUGCUCAGAGUGGUGUAGUAGCAAAAUCUGUUUUGUUGUUAUAAUUAAGAACUUAAAUUAUUUACCAUGGUGUAUUUGCAUAAGGACUAAGAUUUUUUAAAAAAUCAUUUAAAAAAAGAUAAAGACCAAUAUUUAAUUAUGGUUUUCAAGUUAUUUGGAAAAUUGGAAUUCUCAAUAACAUAAAUUAGAAUUUAAAGGGCCUCUGACUUUUAAUUCAGUGGUAAAUCUAUAUCCUCGUGAGGCUGCCUAAGCAAGGUGUCCCACUUCCC
rnacentral:lncRNA from 1 species